rnacentral:tRNA from 1 species
AGCGCCGGUUGGCCACAGGCCUGCCGCUGCUGUCGGCAAACUGCAUGUCCAGUACCGGAAAGGGCUGUUCGAAGUCGGCCCGGUUAUAC